AGGGAGACAACAAAAUGUUUAAUAUUAUUAUUUUGUCACCUUAGGUCGAUCGGUAUCUCACGUUCUUAAUUUGUUAAGAAUUUCAUUUCCUAAGUUUUUCUAGGUCACACCCAUUAUUUUUCCUGGGCCAUUAGCUCAGGUGGUUAGAGCGCACCCCUGAUAAGGGUGAGGUCCCUGGUUCAAGUCCAGGAUGGCCCAUAUCUCUAUGUUGGGGGUAUAGCUCAGUUGGUAGAGCGCCUGCUUUGCAAGCAGGAUGUCAGCGGUUCGAGUCCGCUUACCUCCACUGAUUACCACCUCUUCCAUAACUGGUAGAAAGGAAAUGUUUUGAGUUGUGAUUAUUAUUCUGAACGAAUCUAGCUUCCUAAUGAAAUCAUUAAGAUGCUGGACUCAUUGAAUUAAUUUCAUUGUUUUCAGAGAACCUUGACAACUGCAUAGAAUUUUUUAAAGACAAUAAGCAUCUUUAAUGAUGCAGAUUUAUUAUUUGUGCGAAUGCAUUAAUAACAAUUCUAUUAAGCUGAUGCUUCAAUUUUUGAAGUUAUU
rnacentral:tRNA from 1 species